ACGUUAUGUGCGGUUUUCACCUGAAGUGCUUUCCUCUGCUCAGAAUGCAGGUAUGGCAACACCACUAACAGAAGUCAUUUAUGAUGUCCUGAAAGCCAAGUGGGACCAUGAGAGGACCAAGUUUUCAUUGCCUCCAUUGAUGACUCUCUUACUUGGAGAACCGGGCAGUGGAGGAUCUUCUACCCCAUCUAUGGUUGGUGCUGUUAAGAAAUGGCAGAAGUCUGAUCCUCAGAAUUCUCUUGAAACAUGGAAAAAGUUGUCUGAAGGAAACUCUGCCUUGGAAAUGCACCUUAAUACCUUGUGUAAAUUGGCAGAAAGGAACUACAAUGUUUAUGAAUGUCUCAUCAACGCCUGCAGCCUGCUUCCAGCAGAAAAGUGGCUUGAGAGAGCAAAUGAACCAAGUCAAGCAGAUAUUGUUAAAGGGUUAUUAGGAGCCCGAGAUGCGAUGCUUGGAAUCAGGUAUUAUAUGCGCAAAAUGGGAGA
rnacentral:misc_RNA from 1 species